UACAGAGGGUGCAAGCGUUAAUCGGAAUUACUGGGCGUAAAGCGCGCGUAGGUGGUUUGUUAAGUUGGAUGUGAAAUCCCCGGGCUCAACCUGGGAACUGCAUUCAAAACUGACAAGCUAGAGUAUGGUAGAGGGUGGUGGAAUUUCCUGUGUAGCGGUGAAAUGCGUAGAUAUAGGAAGGAACACCAGUGGCGAAGGCGACCACCUGGACUGAUACUGACGCUGAGGAGCGAAAGCGUGGGGAGCAAACAGG
rnacentral:rRNA from 1 species